rnacentral:rRNA from 1 species
CGUCAUUGCUGCGGUUAAAAAGCUCGUAGUUGGAUCUGAGUCGCAUGCAGUGAUUCGCCAUUGGCGUUAAUCGCUGUUGCGACUAUUUGCUGGUUUUCUACUAAAGUUUCGGCUUUUUUAGUGGCUAGCGAGUUUACUUUGAAUAAAUUAGAGUGCUCAGAACAAGCGUUUGCUUGAAUGCUCGAUCAUGGAAUAAUAAAAGAGGACUUCGGUUCUAUUUAUUGGUUCAGGAACUGAAAUAAUGGUUAAGAGGGACAAUUCGGGGGCAUUCGUAUCCCUGCGCGAGAGGUGAAAUUCGUGGACCGCAGGGGGACGCCCUAAAGCGAAAGCAUUUGCCAAG